UACGAAGGGUGCAAGCGUUAAUCGGAAUUACUGGGCGUAAAGGGUGCGUAGGCGGUUCGUUAAGUCUGUCGUGAAAGCCCCCGGCUCAACCGGGGAGGGUCGUCGGGGACGGGUGCGCUUGAGGGUAUCAGGGGCAGGUAGAAUUCCCGGUGUAGUGGUGAAAUGCGUAGAGAUCGGGAGGAAUACCCGUGGCGAAGGCGGCCUGCUGGGAUACACCUGACGCUGAGACACGAAGGCGUGGGGAGCGAACGGG
rnacentral:rRNA from 1 species